AGAGUUUGAUCCUGGCUCAGAUUGAACGCUGGCGGCAGGCCUAACACAUGCAAGUCGAACGGUAACAGGAAGCAGCUUGCUGCUUCGCUGACGAGUGGCGGACGGGUGAGUAAUGUCUGGGAAACUGCCUGAUGGAGGGGGAUAACUACUGGAAACGGUAGCUAAUACCGCAUAACGUCGCAAGACCAAAGAGGGGGACCUUCGGGCCUCUUGCCAUCGGAUGUGCCCAGAUGGGAUUAGCUAGUAGGUGGGGUAACGGCUCACCUAGGCGACGAUCCCUAGCUGGUCUGAGAGGAUGACCAGCCACACUGGAACUGAGACACGGUCCAGACUCCUACGGGAGGCAGCAGUGGGGAAUAUUGCACAAUGGGCGCAAGCCUGAUGCAGCCAUGCCGCGUGUGUGAAGAAGGCCUUCGGGUUGUAAAGCACUUUCAGCGGGGAGGAAGGCGAUAAGGUUAAUAACCUUGUCGAUUGACGUUACCCGCAGAAGAAGCACCGGCUAACUCCGUGCCAGCAGCCGCGGUAAUACGGAGGGUGCAAGCGUUAAUCGGAAUUACUGGGCGUAAAGCGCACGCAGGCGGUCUGUCAAGUCGGAUGUGAAAUCCCCGGGCUCAACCUGGGAACUGCAUUCGAAACUGGCAGGCUAGAGUCUUGUAGAGGGGGGUAGAAUUCCAGGUGUAGCGGUGAAAUGCGUAGAGAUCUGGAGGAAUACCGGUGGCGAAGGCGGCCCCCUGGACAAAGACUGACGCUCAGGUGCGAAAGCGUGGGGAGCAAACAGGAUUAGAUACCCUGGUAGUCCACGCCGUAAACGAUGUCGAUUUUGGAGGUUGUGCCCUUGAGGCGUGGCUUCCGGAGCUAACGCGUUAAAUCGACCGCCUGGGGAGUACGGCCGCAAGGUAAAACUCAAAUGAAUUGACGGGGGCCCGCACAAGCGGUGGAACAUGUGGGUUUAAUUCGAUGCAACGCGAAAAACCUUACCUGGGCUUGGAAUCCACAAAACUUUCCCAAAGAUGGAUUGGUGCCUUCCGGAAAUUGUAAACAAGGGCUGCAUGGCUUCCCCCACCUCCGGUUGGGAAAAGUUGGGGUUAAUCCCCCCACCAAGCGAACCCUUAUUCUUUUGUGCCAGGGGCCCGCCGGGAACCAAAAGGAAUCGCCUGUAAAUUGGGGGAGGAGUGGGGAAGAGCUCACAGUCUAUGGGCCUCUACACAAGGGCUACACACGUGCUACAAUGGCAUAUACAAAGAGAAGCGACCUCGCGAGAGCAAGCGGACCUCAUAAAGUAUGUCGUAGUCCGGAUUGGAGUCUGCAACUCGACUCCAUGAAGUCGGAAUCGCUAGUAAUCGUAGAUCAGAAUGCUACGGUGAAUACGUUCCCGGGCCUUGCACACACCGCCCGUC
rnacentral:rRNA from 1 species